GAAUAUAAGGAGUUUAGUGCAAAGCCUGGUGUAAUUUAAUAUGUGAUUAUCAUUAUCAUUUUCAUUAUUUUUAUUCCCAGUUCCUAACCUAUCCUAUGUUCCCCCACCCCCACCUUUUUUUUUUUUUUCAGUCGAUCUUUUGCUCUAUCGCCCAGGCUGGAGUGCAGUGGCACGAUCUCGGCUCACUGCAGCCUCCGUCUCCUGGUCUCAAGCGAUUCUCCUGCCUCAGCCUCCCAAAUAGCUGGGACUACAGAGAUGUUCCUGGAAAGCUGUUAAUCCAUUGUUUUUCACCCGUUGUCAGAGCAACCACUAGAGAUGAGUGGACUGUCAAUAAUAAUCAGAGUUAAGUCAUGAACUCUUAAAAGUGACAAAUGUAAAAUCUCCAAAUU
rnacentral:lncRNA from 10 species